GACGAACGCUGGCGGCGUGCUUAACACAUGCAAGUCGAACGGAAAGGCCCUGCUUUUGUGGGGUGCUCGAGUGGCGAACGGGUGAGUAACACGUGAGUAACCUGCCCUUGACUUUGGGAUAACUUCAGGAAACUGGGGCUAAUACCGGAUAGGAGCUCCUGCUGCAUGGUGGGGGUUGGAAAGUUUCGGCGGUUGGGGAUGGACUCGCGGCUUAUCAGCUUGUUGGUGGGGUAGUGGCUUACCAAGGCUUUGACGGGUAGCCGGCCUGAGAGGGUGACCGGCCACAUUGGGACUGAGAUACGGCCCAGACUCCUACGGGAGACAGCAGUGGGGAAUAUUGCACAAUGGGCGGAAGCCUGAUGCAGCAACGCCGCGUGCGGGAUGACGGCCUUCGGGUUAUAAACCGCUUUCGCCUGUGACGAAGCGUGAGUGACGGUAAUGGGUAAAGAAGCACCGGCUAACUACGUG
rnacentral:rRNA from 1 species